UGGGGAAUAUUGCACAAUGGGCGCAAGCCUGAUGCAGCCAUGCCGCGUGUAUGAAGAAGGCCUUCGGGUUGUAAAGUACUUUCAGCGGGGAGGAAGGCGAUAAGGUUAAUAACCUUGUCGAUUGACGUUACCCGCAGAAGAAGCACCGGCUAACUCCGUGCCAGCAGCCGCGGUAAUACGGAGGGUGCAAGCGUUAAUCGGAAUUACUGGACGUAAAGCGCACGCAGGCGGUCUGUCAAGUCGGAUGUGAAAUCCCCGGGCUCAACCUGGGAACUGCAUUCGAAACUGGCAGGCUAGAGUCUUGUAGAGGGGGGUAGAAUUCCAGGUGUAGCGGUGAAAUGCGUAGAGAUCUGGAGGAAUACCGGUGGCGAAGGCGGCCCCCUGGACAAAGACUGACGCUCAGGUGCGAAAGCGUGGGGAGCAAACA
rnacentral:rRNA from 1 species